rnacentral:rRNA from 1 species
UGGGGAAUAUUGGACAAUGGGCGCAAGCCUGAUCCAGCCAUGCCGCGUGAGUGAUGAAGGCCUUAGGGUUGUAAAGCUCUUUUGGCGGGGACGCUAAUGACGGUACCCGCAGAAUAAGUCCCGGCUAACUUCGUGCCAGCAGCCGCGGUAAUACGAAGGGGACUAGCGUUGUUCGGAAUCACUGGGCGUAAAGCGCACGUAGGCGGAUCGAUCAGUCAGGGGUGAAAUCCCAGGGCUCAACCCUGGAACUGCCUUUGAUACUGUCGAUCUGGAGUAUGGAAGAGGUGAGUGGAAUUCCGAGUGUAGAGGUGAAAUUCGUAGAUAUUCGGAGGAACACCAGUGGCGAAGGCGGCUCACUGGUCCAUUACUGACGCUGAGGUGCGUAAGCGUGGGGAGCAAAC